rnacentral:rRNA from 1 species
UACAGAGGUCCCGAGCGUUGUUCGGAUUCACUGGGCGUAAAGGGUGCGUAGGUGGCAUGGAAAGUUUGAUGUGAAAGCUCAGGGCUUAACCCUGAAAUGGCAUUGAAUACUGCUGUGCUGGAGGUUUGGAGGGGGGACUGGAAUUCUUGGUGUAGCAGUGAAAUGCGUAGAUAUCAAGAGGAACACCAGUGGCGAAGGCGAGUCCCUGGACAACACCUGACACUGAGGUACGAAAGCUAGGGGAGCAAACAGG